rnacentral:rRNA from 1 species
GAGUUUGAUCCUGGCUCAGAACGAACGCUGGCGGCAGGCUUAACACAUGCAAGUCGAACGCCCCGCAAGGGGAGUGGCAGACGGGUGAGUAACACGUGGGAACGUGCCCUAAGGUUUGGAAUAUUCCCGGGAAACUGGGAGCAAUACCAAAUGUGUCCGCAAGGAGAAAGAUUUAUCGCCUUAGGAUCGGCCCGCGUCAGAUUAGGUAGUUGGUGGGGUAAUGGCCUACCAAGCCGACGAUCUGUAGCUGGUCUGAGAGGACGACCAGCCACACUGGGACUGAGACACGGCCCAGACUCCUACGGGAGGCAGCAGUGGGGAAUCUUGGACAAUGGGCGCAAGCCUGAUCCAGCCAUGCCGCGUGGAUGAUGAAGGCCCUAGGGUUGUAAAAUCCUUUCGUUUGGGGACGAUAAUGACGGUACCCAAAGAAGAAGCUCCGGCUAACUUCGUGCC